GAUAAACGCUGGCGGCGUGCCUAAUACAUGCAAGUCGAGCGAACGGACGAGAAGCUUGCUUCUCUGAUGUUAGCGGCGGACGGGUGAGUAACACGUGGAUAACCUACCUAUAAGACUGGGAUAACUUCGGGAAACCGGAGCUAAUACCGGAUAAUAUUUUGAACCGCAUGGUUCAAAAGUGAAAGACGGUCUUGCUGUCACUUAUAGAUGGAUCCGCGCUGCAUUAGCUAGUUGGUAAGGUAACGGCUUACCAAGGCAACGAUGCAUAGCCGACCUGAGAGGGUGAUCGGCCACACUGGAACUGAGACACGGUCCAGACUCCUACGGGAGGCAGCAGUAGGGAAUCUUCCGCAAUGGGCGAAAGCCUGACGGAGCAACGCCGCGUGAGUGAUGAAGGUCUUCGGAUCGUAAAACUCUGUUAUUAGGGAAGAACAUAUGUGUAAGUAACUGUGCACAUCUUGACGGUACCUAAUCAGAAAGCCACGGCUAACUACGUGCCAGCAGCCGCGAUAAUACGUAGGUGGCAAGCGUUAUCCGGAAUUAUUGGGCGUAAAGCGCGCGUAGGCGGUUUUUUAAGUCUGAUGUGAAAGCCCACGGCUCAACCGUGGAGGGUCAUUGGAAACUGGAAAACUUGAGUGCAGAAGAGGAAAGUGGAAUUCCAUGUGUAGCGGUGAAAUGCGCAGAGAUAUGGAGGAACACCAGUGGCGAAGGCGACUUUCUGGUCUGUAACUGACGCUGAUGUGCGAAAGCGUGGGGAUCAAACAGGAUUAGAUACCCUGGUAGUCCACGCCGUAAACGAUGAGUGCUAAGUGUUAGGGGGUUUCCGCCCCUUAGUGCUGCAGCUAACGCAUUAAGCACUCCGCCUGGGGAGUACGACCGCAAGGUUGAAACUCAAAGGAAUUGACGGGGACCCGCACAAGCGGUGGAGCAUGUGGUUUAAUUCGAAGCAACGCGAAGAACCUUACCAAAUCUUGACAUCCUUUGACAACUCUAGAGAUAGAGCCUUCCCCUUCGGGGGACAAAGUGACAGGUGGUGCAUGGUUGUCGUCAGCUCGUGUCGUGAGAUGUUGGGUUAAGUCCCGCAACGAGCGCAACCCUUAAGCUUAGUUGCCAUCAUUAAGUUGGGCACUCUAAGUUGACUGCCGGUGACAAACCGGAGGAAGGUGGGGAUGACGUCAAAUCAUCAUGCCCCUUAUGAUUUGGGCUACACACGUGCUACAAUGGACAAUACAAAGGGCAGCGAAACCGCGAGGUCAAGCAAAUCCCAUAAAGUUGUUCUCAGUUCGGAUUGUAGUCUGCAACUCGACUACAUGAAGCUGGAAUCGCUAGUAAUCGUAGAUCAGCAUGCUACGGUGAAUACGUUCCCGGGUCU
rnacentral:rRNA from 1 species